rnacentral:rRNA from 1 species
UGAGGAAUAUUGGUCAAUGGGCGGGAGCCUGAACCAGCCAAGCCGCGUGAGGGAAUAAGGCCCUACGGGUCGUAAACCUCUUUUGUCGGGGACAAAACCGGAGACGAGUCUCCGGCUGCGUGUACCCGAGAAAAGCAUCGGCUAACUCCGUGCCAGCA